rnacentral:lncRNA from 1 species
CGUGAGGGUGGGGCAGGGGAGAUCUGAGGAGUGUGCUCACUGCCCCUCCCUCAUCCACCGGCACACCAGACCCCUCUGUCCGACUGUGCUCUUCCAUUUCUCAACUGACUGCCCUGUGGGACAUGUAAAUGUGGUGUUUUCCUAAAAGGGUCUUGUCCUGAACAAAAGCUGACAAGAUCUGCUCUACCCUGCAAAUGUCCAAAGUCAGCUGUCACAUUCUGUUCAGGCUGUUGUCAGAUUUAAAUAAUCCCCAAAUCCCACACAUCACCCCCUUUCUAUACCUCUCUUCAAAAGUCUUUAUCAUCCUGACAGCUGUCCUCUGAACUGUCUCCUAAUGUCUCACAACUUUCUAGAGCUAUAAGGCUGUUUAUGUGACAUCCACAGCUAGCACUCUCACUUGGUCUCCUUGUGGAUCAGAGCCUCCUAGCCAGGAAUACAUCUCACACAUUUACAUCUGGCUAACUACUAAUGCGGGACACUUCAUGCAGCUAUUUCAAGAUGGGGGAGGUGGCUUCUGGCUCACUGAGCUCUCAUCGCCCCAUGAAACCCUCCCAGGUGAUGGGCAUCACCACGCAAGUCUAGUCCUGAAUUUCUCACUGCACUUACUCAUAUUGAUGGGGAAAAGUUUUAGAUAAUUUAGUAGAUUGAAUAUUAAGGUGCUCCCAAAUGAGACUAGCAUUUGAAGUGUUGGCUUCAGAUGGCCCUUUCCAACUUCUCAUCCAACCCCUUGGAGACCUGAAGAGAACAAAAGGAUGAGGAAAGGAAAAUUUCACCACCUCUGUUUUAUUUUCCUUGCCUGUAAGAGUUGGAACAUCUGUCUAUUUCUACCCUACAGUGAGAGACUUACACCACAAGCUCCCUGGCUCCUGGGUGUAGAGGGAAGAUCAUGGGACUUCACCUUCAUAAUUAUGUGCACCAG